UACGAAGGGGGCUAGCGUUGCUCGGAAUCACUGGGCGUAAAGCGCACGUAGGCGGAUUGUUAAGUCAGGGGUGAAAUCCUGGAGCUCAACUCCAGAACUGCCUUUGAUACUGGCGAUCUCGAGUCCGGGAGAGGUGAGUGGAACUGCGAGUGUAGAGGUGAAAUUCGUAGAUAUUCGCAAGAACACCGAUGGCGAAGGCGGCGCUCUGGACCGAGACUGACGCUGAGGAGCGAAAGCGUGGGGAGCGAACAGG
rnacentral:rRNA from 1 species